GACGAACGCUGGCGGCGUGCUUAACACAUGCAAGUCGAACGGAAAGACCCUGCUUUUGUGGGGUGCUCGAGUGGCGAACGGGUGAGUAACACGUGAGUAACCUGCCCUUGACUUUGGGAUAACUUCAGGAAACUGGGGCUAAUACCGGAUAGGAGCUCCUGCUGCAUGGUGGGGGUUGGAAAGUUUCGGCGGUUGGGGAUGGACUCGCGGCUUAUCAGCUUGUUGGUGGGGUAGUGGCUUACCAAGGCUUUGACGGGUAGCCGGCCUGAGAGGGUGACCGGCCACAUUGGGACUGCGAUACGGCCCAGACUCCUACGGGACGCAGCAGUGGGGAAUAUUGCACAAUGGGCGGAAGCCUGAUGCAGCAACGCCGCGUGCGGGAUGACGGCCUUCGGGUUGUAAACCGCUUUCGCCUGUGACGAACCGUGAGUGACGGUAAUGGGUAAAGAAGCACCGGCUAACUACGUG
rnacentral:rRNA from 1 species